UACGAAGGGGGCUAGCGUUGUUCGGAAUUACUGGGCGUAAAGCGCACGUAGGCGGAUAUUUAAGUCAGGGGUGAAAUCCCAGAGCUCAACUCUGGAACUGCCUUUGAUACUGGGUAGUCUUGAGUAUGGAAGAGGUAAGUGGAAUUGCGAGUGUAGAGGUGAAAUUCGUAGAUAUUCGCAGGAACACCAGUGGCGAAGGCGGCUUACUGGUCCAUUACUGACGCUGAGGUGCGAAAGCGUGGGAGCAAACAGG
rnacentral:rRNA from 1 species